GACGAACGCUGGCGGCGUGCUUAACACAUGCAAGUCGAACGGAAAGGCCCUGCUUUUGUGGGGUGCUCGAGUGGCGAACGGGUGAGUAACACGUGAGUAACCUGCCCUUGACUUUGGGAUAACUUCAGGAAACUGGGGCUAAUACCGGAUAGGAGCUCCUGCUGCAUGGUGGGGGUUGGAAAGUUUCGGCGGUUGGGGAUGGACUCGCGGCUUGUCAGCUUGUUGGUGGGGUAGUGGCUUACCAAGGCUUUGACGGGUAGCCGGCCUGAGAGGGUGACCGGCCACAUUGGCACUGAGCUACGGCCCGGACUCCUACGGGAGGCAGCAGUGGGGAAUAUUGCACAAUGGGCGGAAGCCUGAUGCAGCAACGCCGCGUGCGGGAUGACGGCCUUCGGGUUGUAAACCGCUUUCGCCUGUGACGAAGCGUGAGUGACGGUAAUGGGUAAAGAAGCACCGGCUAACUACGUG
rnacentral:rRNA from 1 species